rnacentral:lncRNA from 1 species
GGGUCAUUACAUUUCCUUUUUGUCCGUUUAUAGAGCAUAGGAUGUUAUGCCUUGCCUUUAUCUGCUAAGCUCGAGGUCAGGGUUGGGGUCCAGGUUCUGAUGCCUCAUGGUCCUCAUCUUCACUCUCUUUAAGUUCUUCAACCUCAUGGUCCUCGUCACGAAUUUGACUAGUAAAUGGUCUAGAUUGACAACUCCUAGUCAAUGGCCCUGGGUGCUCAUUCCAUUUCUUCUCAUAAGUCCUUCGUAUUUCAUGAAUGUUCCGGACUUCUUUGGUUAAGUAUCUCUUCUGCAAUUUUUUCUGGUGAUGGAAGAGUGUAUCCUGGACUGUAGCGUCCAAUACCCUCCACCCAUGCCUGAAAAUAAACUUUGGUAAGUAAUUUCAAAUUGUAUAAAAAAAUAGAAAAUGAAAUAUUACCUAUAAUUUAGGAUUAAGAACGACAUUGAAAGGAACACCACUGGUGAAGAAGAAUUUGCCUCCAUAUUGAUGGAGCAGGUCCCUCUCCUUCUUCUUCACAUGAUCAGCUAACGUUGUUUGAUAGAGGGGUUCGGUUUGUCGUUGCCUGAUUAUAUCGUGUCAUGGAUACUAAUAUCUAUCUCUUCCGGCGGACUAUGACGAUCGACAUUUGUAGUUGAAUCUUCCUGAACAUCUUCAUCGUCUUCUUCUUCAAUGUUGUUGUCAAUGUUUUGAUUGGCUUCUUCAAUAGGUAGUUGUUGUUCCUAAUUGUUUUCAUGAAAUUCGUCUAUUAUAAAAACCCUCAAACAAUAAAAAAAAUAAUUAGAAAACCACAACCGUAAUCUACAAAAAUCAUUAUGAGAAUGAUAUGAAAUCUAACUAAGAUUUUUUUCAACUUCUUAUUUUCAACUUCUUAUUUUCAACCCUAACCAUUUUUUCAACUUCUUAUUUUCUUCAAAUCAGUUCGUCGGAAUCUCACCGGAGGGAUGCCUGGAAGUCGCUAGAGGAAUGGGGGGAGGAGGUGGCCGGAGUUGGGAGAAAUCAGACCUGAAAAUAGGUCACCAGGCCGUUUUUGUGAUUUCAGACAGAGUUGAUACUGUUUUAAUUAAUUAAAACAGAGCCGGAGCCGGCUAAGGGAAAUGCGACAGGCGCAUCUCCCUUCGGAGGUGCAUAUGCGCACACAUCCGGAACCUUGCUUGUUUCUAGUUUCUUCGUUUGCAUCAUGUUUGAUUGAUGAUUUCCUUCAUUUUGAGGGAUAAUUUCCUUCAUAUUGAGGGAUGAUUCACGUUUCAACUAUUCCAAAGGGUGACAACGGCUCUUCUUGUAACACUCCGGAUCAAAAGAGAGACUGAUGUCAUUAUUGACCUCCUUAAGGACCACCUCAGAAGGUCUGCUAACGUGUUGUUUGUAUCUUUUAUUUCUUUCUGCCCAUAUAUGCCACGAUAAACACCCAAUAGCAUUCUAUAGUGGUGUGUGAAUUUUUGCGUAGGCUCCGUAAGAUCUCUCAAUCUAAUGGAAAACGAUUUGAAUGGUUAUGGAAAUUGACUAUCAGUAUGCUUAAGGGAAUAUAUUGAUGGAAUCCUUUGGGACUAGACGAAAAUGUAGAACAUGAUAAAUUCUAUGACUUCAUAUUAUUAAAUAAUCGAUUAUUGUUAAUAAGAUGUAUGAAUCUAGGGAUCUGGGCCAAAAAGGCUCCCAAAUUCUCCAUGCUGUUGUGGAGAAUUAAGAUCAAGAGUCUGAACACUUUAACUAGACUACAAAGCUGCAGACUCAACGUAAAUACGUCCUGCCCACUAGUUUCAAAAGAACUGUUACAAGAAGAACUUUGAUCCGUUUUAUUGGAUCAGUCUCUUCUUUGAUCCGGAGUGUUACAAGAACUAUUGUCACCCUUUGGAGACAUCUAUGAUGGAAGCAUGGGAGACUAACCUCCUGAGGCAGCGUAUCUAGUUACUAUAUAACUAGACUACAACUAAUGGAAGAGAGAGUCAAUGAGCUUCUUGCUCAUUUUUUUUUACUUCUGUUUUUUAUUUCUAUACUCUAUGUAAUGUGGGCAUUGCCCUUAUUUUUAAUAAAAUUUAAUUGCUUUAAAAAAAACGAAGCAGGAAUUGGAAACUGAAUAAUAAUGUUACUGGAUUCACCCUGGUGUAUUUAUACAGUUUGCAUAUACUGCUGAUGAGGUAUGUUUCAUGAAUUACACUAGAUCCCUAUUGCUAGAGACCACUAGCUGACUUAACAAUGUUGUUUGGACACUUAGUGGGCAAAAUCCCCCAUCUCCCGCAAUAGAUAUCAGGAUAGGGGAUAUUAUGGAAACAAUACAAAAAUUCACCCACAAGUCCAGUUGUUUGGGGGUACACUGGACUAUGCUAGCAUCCCUUUCCUGGCACAUAUAGUGUGAAAGGAAUAGGAGAUUAAAACAACACACCCUAAGGCCUCUAGAAAUUGUCAGCAGAGAAAUUAUAAAGGAUGUGAGCAUUGCAUAUGAUUCUACAUCCUAUAAGAAGCAUAAUCUUUCACAGAUUGAAAUACAAGCUAUACGCUCAUGGGAGUCCAACCUCUUGAGGUUUCAGUCCUUGGCCAGUUAAUCAGGGUCAUAGUUGUAUAAGAGCUAGACAAUGUUUUUACAUUUACUGUACUUGCAUUUCCUUAUAUUUUGUAAUCUUGGGCUAUGCCCAACCUCUUUUUCAGUAAUGAAAGUUUUAAUUUCUCAAAAAAAAAAUGUAUGGAGGAUGAGAUUACUGGAUCAAUUUGGUUGCAAAUUGACACAUGAAAAUGAUUGAAUGUAUUUUGUUUUGAUGCAAAUUACAAACAUGUGUGUGAAAGGAUCAUUAUCAAAUUUCAAGUGAACCUUAUAGCUUGAGAAAAAUCUGUUAUGAACCAUUAAACAUGGAAGGUGAUUCAUCGGAUUAUUUCUAAUUUAUCAUUUUAGCAGAGCAUGUGUUGUAGUAGAGUAAUGAGUUGUAGAUUAAUUGUUGCAGGAUAUUAUCUACUCGUUGUUUUGAUCAUUUGAUAAAACAUGUUUAUCUGUAGUAUAGAUAAAAUGAGAUUGUUUCAAUUUGACAUCCAUAAAUGAAACAUGAUAAGUUUAGAUUUAUACUCAUUGCGAAUUGACUGAAUUCCUGUCAUGGUGCUGAUUUUUUGUAUUUGCUUAGUUGACAUCUUAGUUAUGACUUACGAAUUGCAGAGAUGAAGACAAUGUUAGAGUUAUCCAGACUGCUUGGUGUUGG